AUGGACGAGAAAAAAGUCACCAAACUGUCUGAACAACGUUGCAAAUCAACACUGCAGGUUUCAGCUCCCUACCAACAUCUAGUCCUGACUGUUAACAACACAGCUAACAGAGCAACCUGCACAGCACAUGGAGGAUACCCUGAACCUAAAGUGUCAUGGACGGGUCUAAAGAAAUCCAGCAUUGCACAGCUGGACCUGCAGGAUGCUGAGACGUCCCUGCAGCAGGAUCCAACAGAGAAAACCUUCUCAGUCACAAGCUCUGUCAGUAUGAAGGAGUUCCAGUCUGUAACCUGCAUCAUCUUCAACCCUCGCACCAACCAGAGGAUUAAAGGAACUGCAGAGAUCAGUGAUUCUGGUAAAGACACGCAAAGUAAACAUGAUUGGACUAAUGGAGAAAUUGCAGGUUUGGUAACUGGCAUCCUCAUCCUCAUCCUCAUCGCCAUCAUAUGUGUGUGCCUCUACAGAAGACAUAAAAGGUGUAUUCAGAAUCUACAAGACCCACCAAAUGCAAAUGAAGACCCAGCUGAAGGAAAUGUUCUUGAUCUGCUCAACGCGUCAGGACAAAAUCAACCUGAGGAAAAUAGUCCACUAAUGAGGAGGAAUGGUGCUGAAAGCUCGACUGAUGAGGAUGCUGCUACUGGUGGAGGAGGUGCUUCUGGUGGUGCUGAUGCAGAACAUGACAAAAGCAGUUAAAUGGAGAUUUAAUUGAAUUUUAUUUAUUUAUUUAUUUUUCUAUUUACACAUUUCUUGCAAAAUCAUUGUCUUCUUUUGAGUUUGUAUCUCUUUCUAAUCCGUCCUCCUGUGUUUCCUCUCUGUAAAUUGAGGAGAUAGAGUUUCCUUGUUUCAUUGUGGGUGCUGUUAUCAUUGAGUGUUUUAUUGAUUACAGUUAUUACUUUGUGUGUAUGGGGUUGUUUUUAAGGUGUGAAGCAUUUUGUUUGAAUGAAAAGCCUAUAUUAUUACAACCACUGACUGACUAUAUAAAUAAAGUAAGAAUCAACAGUAUGAAUCAUAACUGGGAUCAGAAUUGGUGCUGGAAGGGAGGCAAAAACAGGAGUUAAAGAACUACAGUAGUUUAAACUGAGAUAUUUUGAGAUAUGACUGCACAAAGUCUUUUGGGGGGUGUUUGCCUUCCUUAGAUAGGACAUGUCAAGAUGAAUAAGAAAAGGGGAGAGAGAGAGGAUGAGAUGCACACACACACACACACACACACACACACACACACACACACACACACACACACACACACACACACACACAAGUAUUAAGCUUUUUUAUAUAACAGCAGCUGCUUUUUUUCCACACUCUGUUCCUGACCCCCAAUCCCCCUGCCUCCUACUAGGGAAAAGCAUUACAGGUGCACAAUUUUAUUUGGUGUGAAGACUGGCCCCUCAAUUCAUUCAGCUGUAAUCAGUCCCACUACGAGGUUUUUUGUUUCUUUUUGUAUUACUGUAGGAUUUGGUACAUAUUUUGACAGAGUUGCAAAUAGGAUUUACAUCCACCUUCAUUCACUGCAGGCGCCAGGCUCCUCCUUCUCAUUUCCAGACAACAGAAGAGAUCUGACAUUUAGAAGAGGGGGAAUUACGACUGUCUACUGUAUAAAAAUGUACAGUGGCUUUAUUGACAUACAUUCCAUAGGUUAAACAGCUGCAAAAUAGGAGGCACACCCAGUAUUGCACUUCAUUAAAAGUUCUGGCCUCAAAACAUAACCCAGAAUAUCAAACAAAACUGAAGUGAAGAGUAGCAACUUCGGAAUACAGCUAUUUUGAAUAGUAUCAUUAUAUACAAGAUUAGAUAAAUCGUACACUAUUUUCCUC
rnacentral:lncRNA from 15 species